GAUGAACGCUGGCGGCGUGCCUAAUACAUGCAAGUCGAGCGAAGCGUGUACGGGAGUGUAACAUGUGGAUAAUCUCCCUUCCGACUGGAAUAACUUCGGGAAACCGGAGCUAAACCAGACACGUUUUGUUGUCUCCGCGCUGCAUUAGCUAGUUGGUAAGGUAACGGCUUACCAAGGCAACGAUGCUUCGCCGACCUGAGAGGGUGAGCGGCCAAACUGGAACUGGGACACGGUCCAGACUCCUACGGGAGGCAGCGGUAGGGAAUCUGCCGCAAUGGGCGAAAGCGUGACGGAGCAACGCCGCGUGAGUGAGGAGGGGCUUCGGAUCGUAAAGCUCUGUUAUUAGGGAAGCGGUACCUAGAGAGAAAGCCACGGCUAACUACGUGCCAGCAGCCGCGGUAAUUC
rnacentral:rRNA from 1 species